CUCACUUUCCCAGCUUCCCUUGUGGCGCAGAUGCGGUUCCGUUGGCGAGGAGAGCUCUGCCCUGCAGUGAGCUGGGACAGUCACGUGGGACAGGAAGACAUGGAGCUCUCUCCAGUCACAGACCUCGGGAUAAGGCUGCAGAAGGCACUGAGACUCAUCACAGGUCUCCUCAUUCUGCAAACCCUGCCGCUCCUGUGGACUGGUGUCUGUGCGGCAGUCUCCGGAAAAGCCCACCUUCCCAGGGCUGAUGAUGUGCUGCUAACCAUGAAAACAGCUCAGUGACAUGACUUAUGACCCUGGCUGAGGAC